rnacentral:lncRNA from 11 species
AUGUUCUUCUACUCUCAUCAUUCUUAUUUGUGUCUCAUUCUAGCAUCCUGUUUGCUGCCACCACCGUGCCUUCCAAGGAAACUGACAGGUCAAGUUUUGUCAGAUUAUAAAAUUCAGCCCACAGAGGAGGACUCUCAUCUCCUGACAUUGAUCUCCUUGCAAAAUGCUGAUGGUUCCUGGUGCCUUGAUUCUGCCUUGGCCAGCAUUCUCAGCCUGGUUGAGGCUGACAUCUUGAGUAAAACACCUGCCCAGGUGACUCCAAAUGUGUGGGUGACAGUGCUGGCUAUCCUUUGGCUCCACUCCAAUGCCAAAGAACAGAGGAAUGAGUGGGAACUACUGGAAACAAAAGCUCUGAAAUGGCUCAGCUGAGCAAAGGUGAGAUGUCUUUGGAUCCACCAUCCAAAGAUCAGAAUGAGUUGAGGAAAGAUACUUGUGUCAAAAGGACGAGGCUUAGAAAAUUUAAACUCAAUGUUUAUCGUGUACUCUUAUUGCAACCCUGCCAGAGGGCUUGUAGAGGGCUUAUAUCUGCCAUGGUAGAGCAAACAUUUGCCUCUCUCAUCAAGUCCUAGCUCAGCAUUUCUUUCUACUGGAAUUGGGCACUGUUGUCUGUUAAUGCUCCUUAUCCACAGCCCAUGUAAGCAAGUCCAUUCCAGUUAAAUAUUUAAUGUUGAAAAUUGAUCUCACUACUUGAGUUCCCUUUGAACAGGUAGAGUAGCACAACUGAUCUUUCCCAUGGGGGAGUUCAUCAAAAUUACACACGGAGAGCCAGUGACCAAUCUAUGAGUCUGAAUUUAGAAAUGGGAAGCACUUAAGAGCAAAGGGCCACAUAGGUGGUAACAACUAGUAAUGCUUCAGGUACAGCAAUCUUGGAAUGCGAUAAAAUUGUUCAAGUAUGUUUGUAUGGUACUAGAUUUUUCAUCAUGGUCCCUCUUUCUCACAGGCCGGUGGCUGGCUGAAUGUGUAAAGGCUGCAGGGAGUGAGCUAGAGCCAAAUCGUGGUCCAUUGCAUUCCUCCUGGCUUUUCAUGUGGACUGUAUGGUGUCUAUUGUUACUUUUGCAAUGAGUGCUUGGUUAAAUGUAUGAUAUAGAAUCCUGGGAGUUGUAAUUUUACAAGUCCUUUAGCUUUCUCUGCCAAAUACUGCUAGUGCCUCGCCAAACUUUAACUCCUAGAAGCCAUAAUCUUGUGCCAUGGCUGUCAAGCUGAAUUAAAUUCUCCACUAUCAAUGUGCCCUGAGAAACCAAAGUUGGUGAAGCUUACAUAGGCUAGGGUUGUAUCCGUGCUGCAGGAUGACACCACAUUACACACACAGCCUUUUUCGGGAUACAACAAAAUCACAACACAAGCAUUUACAACAAAAAGAAGUCACAAAGAUAAAAAGGAAAGCAUAAUUAAGAGUUACUAAUCUCAAGAAUAAAAUCUGCAACGGUCUCACAAAAGAAUGCAUCAGAGUUGUUCAGAAGAUACGGAAUUUUAUAACACUCUUGCCAUUGAGAACACUAAAAAAAUGAAUUUCUGUAUUUUAUCUGUAUAUUUUCACAUUUAGGACAUACAAACAAAGAAUGGUGAAGUGUUUUGACAGAGACCAAGUCACAAGAACAAACCCUUUUGGAACAUUCCACGAAGUUGGUGGCAUAAGCUUUCAUAAACUAAGGCUGCAUCUGCACUGCAAAAUUAUAGCAGGAUGACACCACAUUAACUGCAAUGGUUCAAUGCAAUGGAAUUUUGGGAUUUUAAGUUUUACCCUUCUGUCAGAGAGCUCGCUGCCACAACAAACUAUGAAUCAAGGAACAUGGCAGUUAAAGUGGUGCCAAACUGUAAUAAAUCUGCAGUGUGGAUGGUCUGUUUGUCUACUUCCUCACUUAGUCUACCAAGUUCAUUUUCUCAGUUACUUGCUAUAAGGUGCUACAAGAUCCCUUUGCUUAUGAAUUCCAGACUAACACAGCUGUGUCUUUGAACAAGAACUCUUUUAACAGGAGUAAAGCAUUAUCUAUGCUAUACCAAAGUGUAUGCUUGUAACAUGGCUCAGUUACUGAGCCAGAUUAAACUGCAUGGAAA